UGAGCCCGCGCCUGCCCCUGGCGCGAGGGCUGCCCCGCUCAGCGCCUCGUCUCUCCCCGGCGGCUGCUCCUCUCAGCGCCUCGCCCCGGGAGGAAUCCCUGUUCCCUCAGUUGCCCUCUUCAGCAGGCUCCAUCGUGGCUAGUCAGAGCCCCUCUGAAUUUUGCCGUUUUCCCCCUAAGGGCUGAUCCCUCUUGGUGCCUCACCUCCCCCCCCGGGGUAGCCUCUCCCCUCCUGGCAUCCCUGGCCAGCCCGUUUGGUCCGCCUUCUGGAAAUAACGCCCUUCUCUUCUCCCUGAAUGAACCGCCCUUUCUCCCUUCCCUUCCCUUGCCUUCCUCUCCAUCACCUCCUGGAGGGAAUCGUGUUCGGGAGCCUUUUCCUGAGGGACCGUGCGCGAGCAGAAAUUAAUGCAAGGAGUCUUUUUAUGGAGGGAAAUAUUUAAAUGCUGCCCAUCAGUGAGGAAGAGUGGUUGGGAGAUGAACAGAUCCCUCAGCGGUUGUCCUGAAUUUCUGAAUCUCUAAUGUCUCAGAAGACUCAUUAUUAAUAUCCAAAAAUAGUGUUCCUUAUAGCCAGAUGGCAUAAACCAGUAAAGCCAAAUAAUUCAUCAUUCUACAGACCUGUAGAUGGGCUGGUCCCCAGAUGAAGCCAGGAUGGUUGGAAGUCUUUUCAUGCUGCUACAGGAGACAGCUGCACUGACUGGCUCGUGCUCAGACAUACUUACCAG